rnacentral:piRNA from 1 species
UGCAAAAUCAGUCAAGUGCGGAUAUUUC